CUGUGAGCUCGAUGAGUAGGGCGGGACACGUGGUAUCCUGUCUGAAUAUGGGGGGACCAUCCUCCAAGGCUAAAUACUCCUGACUGACCGAUAGUGAACCAGUACCGUGAGGGAAAGGCGAAAAGAACCCCGGCGAGGGGAGUGAAAAAGAACCUGAAACCGUGUACGUACAAGCAGUGGGAGCACGCUUAGGCGUGUGACUGCGUACCUUUUGUAUAAUGGGUCAGCGACUUAUAUUCUGUAGCAAGGUUAACCGAAUAGGGGAGCCGAAGGGAAACCGAGUCUUAACUGGGCGUUAAGUUGCAGGGUAUAGACCCGAAACCCGGUGAUCUAGCCAUGGGCAGGUUGAAGGUUGGGUAACACUAACUGGAGGACCGAACCGACUAAUGUUGAAAAAUUAGCGGAUGACUUGUGGCUGGGGGUGAAAGGCCAAUCAAACCGGGAGAUAGCUGGUUCUCCCCGAAAGCUAUUUAGGUAGCGCCUCGUGAAUUCAUCUCCGGGGGUAGAGCACUGUUUCGGCAAGGGGGUCAUCCCGACUUACCAACCCGAUGCAAACUACGAAUACCGGAGAAUGUUAUCACGGGAGACACACGGCGGGUGCUAACGUCCGUCGUGAAGAGGGAAACAACCCAGACCGCCAGCUAAGGUCCCAAAGUCAUGGUUAAGUGGGAAACGAUGUGGGAAGGCCCAGACAGCCAGGAUGUUGGCUUAGAAGCAGCCAUCAUUUAAAGAAAGCGUAAUAGCUCACUGGUCGAGUCGGCCUGCGCGGAAGAUGUAACGGGGCUAAACCAUGCACCGAAGCUGCGGCAGCGACGCUGAUGCGUUGUUGGGUAGGGGAGCGUUCUGUAAGCCUGCGAAGGUGUGCUGUGAGGCAUGCUGGAGGUAUCAGAAGUGCGAAUGCUGACAUAAGUAACGAUAAAGCGGGUGAAAAGCCCGCUCGCCGGAAGACCAAGGGUUCCUGUCCAACGUUAAUCGGGGCAGGGUGAGUCGACCCCUAAGGCGAGGCCGAAAGGCGUAGUCGAUGGGAAACAGGUUAAUAUUCCUGUACUUGGUGUUACUGCGAAGGGGGGACGGAGAAGGCUAUGUUGGCCGGGCGACGGUUGUCCCGGUUUAAGCGUGUAGGCUGGUUUUCCAGGCAAAUCCGGAAAAUCAAGGCUGAGGCGUGAUGACGAGGCACUACGGUGCUGAAGCAACAAAUGCCCUGCUUCCAGGAAAAGCCUCUAAGCAUCAGGUAACAUCAAAUCGUACCCCAAACCGACACAGGUGGUCAGGUAGAGAAUACCAAGGCGCUUGAGAGAACUCGGGUGAAGGAACUAGGCAAAAUGGUGCCGUAACUUCGGGAGAAGGCACGCUGAUAUGUAGGUGAAGUCCCUCGCGGAUGGAGCUGAAAUCAGUCGAAGAUACCAGCUGGCUGCAACUGUUUAUUAAAAACACAGCACUGUGCAAACACGAAAGUGGACGUAUACGGUGUGACGCCUGCCCGGUGCCGGAAGGUUAAUUGAUGGGGUUAGCGCAAGCGAAGCUCUUGAUCGAAGCCCCGGUAAACGGCGGCCGUAACUAUAACGGUCCUAAGGUAGCGAAAUUCCUUGUCGGGUAAGUUCCGACCUGCACGAAUGGCGUAAUGAUGGCCAGGCUGUCUCCACCCGAGACUCAGUGAAAUUGAACUCGCUGUGAAGAUGCAGUGUACCCGCGGCAAGACGGAAAGACCCCGUGAACCUUUACUAUAGCUUGACACUGAACAUUGAGCCUUGAUGUGUAGGAUAGGUGGGAGGCUUUGAAGUGUGGACGCCAGUCUGCAUGGAGCCGACCUUGAAAUACCACCCUUUAAUGUUUGAUGUUCUAACGUUGACCCGUAAUCCGGGUUGCGGACAGUGUCUGGUGGGUAGUUUGACUGGGGCGGUCUCCUCCUAAAGAGUAACGGAGGAGCACGAAGGUUGGCUAAUCCUGGUCGGACAUCAGGAGGUUAGUGCAAUGGCAUAAGCCAGCUUGACUGCGAGCGUGACGGCGCGAGCAGGUGCGAAAGCAGGUCAUAGUGAUCCGGUGGUUCUGAAUGGAAGGGCCAUCGCUCAACGGAUAAAAGGUACUCCGGGGAUAACAGGCUGAUACCGCCCAAGAGUUCAUAUCGACGGCGGUGUUUGGCACCUCGAUGUCGGCUCAUCACAUCCUGGGGCUGAAGUAGGUCCCAAGGGUAUGGCUGUUCGCCAUUUAAAGUGGUACGCGAGCUGGGUUUAGAACGUCGUGAGACAGUUCGGUCCCUAUCUGCCGUGGGCGCUGGAGAAUUGAGGGGGGCUGCUCCUAGUACGAGAGGACCGGAGUGGACGCAUCACUGGUGUUCGGGUUGUCAUGCCAAUGGCACUGCCCGGUAGCUAAAUGCGGAAGAGAUAAGUGCUGAAAGCAUCUAAGCACGAAACUUGCCCCGAGAUGAGUUCUCCCUGAC
rnacentral:rRNA from 1 species